rnacentral:lncRNA from 1 species
AUAUCCGUCAGGAAAUUUCACUUUAUCUGUAAUCCAAUCAAAGAACUCUUCUUUUCUAGCACCAUCCAGCCGAUAAAUGGGAAAAGGGGCCAUACCGUUCUCAUCAACGUGAAGUUCAGAACGAUCACAGAUAUCGACUAAAUCCAACCUUGACUUCAAAUUAUCCUUCGUUUUACCUUGGAUGUUAAGGACUGUAUUCAUCAGAUUGUCGAAGAAGUUCUUCUCAAUAUGCAUGACAUCUAAAUUAUGCCGCAAUAGAUGAGUCUUCCAAUAUGGCAG